UAAAUUAAAUAGCCAUAUUCCCAGGGCAAGGCUUAUCCAUUGCACUCUGGAUGUGCUGAUGCCUGCAAUUUCCCCAGAUAUGGGAAACUUGACUGCAUAAUUAGUGGUAGUGGGGGACUGCAUUUGCACUCUCCCC
rnacentral:snRNA from 1 species